GAGCAUGCGGCGGCUAUAAUGCAGUCGACGCUUCUUUGCUCCCUUGCUUUGGAUGUAUUGUGGGAGGAGUGACGGAACGUGGGGAACUGUGGGAACCUGGGAUAACUCCGGGAUAACGGUUGUAAACCGUGCGAUUACUUGAUACGCAUGUUUCCCACAUGACAGGCGACUUCAGCGACCUUUCAGGUGAUAUGAUGGACGCACCCGCUAUGCGUUAACGUAUUGGUGAGGUAUGGCUCAUGCGGAGACGAUGCGUAACGGACAUGAGAGGUCUGCGACUGAAAUGGGACUGAGACUCCUACCAGACUCCUCCGGUAGGCUCUUCAGGGAGCUUCUGCUCGGUGGAAGUCUGAGCAAAACGCCGAAUUUUUGAAGAAGGUUUUCGGAGUUGUUACUCUGUUGAAUGAAUUCAAGGGGUUAGUCCUGAACGUCCCCUGACGGAUCUAUCGGCUAACUACGUGCCACUACCUGCCUCUACGCGGUGUACGCGUUGGUGGAAUUGUGGGAUUAUUGGUGCAAGCGUUUCAUACUCUUCGAAUCCACCGGAAACCCCGGCGGACGUGAGGUUGUUGAAGUGGGGCACUAAGUGAGGGAUUCAUGAAUUCCUGAGUGCGAGGAUGCCAGAACAUGGGGACACCGGACUCAAGGCUGCUCUGACUGAACUGCGCAGCGGCGAAUAAGGGAUAAAACGUGAAUCCCGCCAACCUACAGUGUGUGUUGUAGUGUUGAGGUUUCGCCUUCAUCUGUAAGCGCUCUGCGCGGCUGCGAUAAGACUGGUGACUCACGGACUGCCCGUGACAAACCGGAGGAAGGUGGGGAUGACGUCAAAUCAUCAUGCCCCUUAUGACCCGGGGUACACACGUGGUACAAUGGGAAGUACAAAGGGUAGGUAAACCGCGAGGUCCAGCCAAUCUCUCAAAUCUUUUUUCAGUUCGGAUUGCAGUUUGCAACUUGCCUGCCGAAGCUGGAAUCGCUAGUAAUCGCGGAUCAGCACGCCGCGGUGAAUACGUUCCCGGGCCUUGUACACACCGCCCGUCACACCACGAGAGUUUGUAACACCAGAAGUCGGUGAGGUAACCUUAUGGAGCCAGCCUCCCUAAGGGGAAUAGU
rnacentral:rRNA from 1 species